ACAUGCCUACAACAUAGCAUUGAUGCACCAAAUCCCAUUAGAACUCUGUAGUUAAGCGCGUUCGGGCUAGAGUAGUACUGGUAUGGGUGAUCACCUAGGAAGUCCUAGUGUUUUACAUGCC
rnacentral:rRNA from 1 species